rnacentral:pre_miRNA from 1 species
UCUCCCAACCCUCGUACCAGAGUCCAUCCGAGACCCGGUACGGGCUGUGGGGGAUG